UGGGGAAUCUUCCGCAAUGGACGAAAGUCUGACGGAGCAACGCCGCGUGAACGAUGACGGCCUUCGGUUGUAAAGUUCUGUUAUACGGGACGAAUGGCGUAGCGGUCAAUACCCGUUACGAGUGACGGUACCGUAAGAGAAAGCCACGGCUAACUACGUGCCAGCAGCCGCGGUAAUACGUAGGUGGCAAGCGUUGUCCGGAAUUACUGGGCGUAAAGGGAGUGUAGGCGGCUUUGCAAGUCAGAUGUGAAAAGCCCGGGGCUCAACCCCGGGACUGCAUUUGAAACUGUGAAGCUGGAGUGUCGGAGAGGUAAGUGGAAUUCCUAGUGUAGCGGUGAAAUGCGUAGAUAUUAGGAAGAACACCAGUGGCGAAGGCGGCUUACUGGACGAUUACUGACGCUGAGGCUCGAAAGCGUGGGGAGCAAACAGGAUUAGAUACCCUGGUAGU
rnacentral:rRNA from 1 species